AUGGCGCCGUCCAAGCAGUACGACGAGGGCGGGCAGCUCCAGCUCAUGGAGGCCGACCGGGUGGAGGAGGAGGAGGAGUGCUUCGAGUCCAUCGACAAGUUGAUCUCGCAGGGAAUAAACUCAGGAGACGUGAAGAAGCUGCAGGAUGCGGGGAUCUACACUUGCAAUGGGCUGAUGAUGCACACCAAGAAGAGCCUUACAGGGAUUAAGGGCUUGUCUGAAGCGAAGGUUGAUAAGAUCUGUGAGGCUGCUGAAAAACUUCUGAGUCAGGGUUUCAUGACAGGAAGUGAUCUCCUUAUUAAGCGAAAGUCUGUUGUCCGGAUUACCACUGGGAGCCAAACGCUUGAUGAGCUGCUUGGAGGAGGGAUUGAAACACUCUGUAUCACAGAGGCAUUUGGAGAGUUCCGGUCAGGGAAGACCCAGUUGGCUCAUACUCUUUGUGUCUCCACUCAGCUUCCACUCCACAUGCAUGGUGGGAACGGGAAGGUUGCCUACAUUGACACUGAGGGAACAUUCCGGCCUGAACGCAUUGUGCCAAUUGCUGAGAGAUUUGGGAUGGAUGCCAAUGCUGUUCUUGACAAUAUCAUAUAUGCUCGUGCCUACACCUAUGAGCACCAGUACAACUUACUCCUGGGCCUUGCUGCCAAGAUGGCUGAAGAGCCUUUCAGGCUUCUGAUCGUGGAUUCUGUGAUUGCGCUGUUCCGUGUUGAUUUCAGUGGUAGGGGUGAACUUGCAGAGCGUCAGCAAAAGCUGGCACAAAUGCUGUCCCGCCUUACAAAGAUUGCUGAGGAGUUCAAUGUUGCAGUGUACAUCACCAACCAAGUGAUUGCGGACCCAGGUGGUGGUAUGUUCAUCACUGACCCCAAAAAGCCGGCGGGAGGCCACGUGCUGGCGCAUGCAGCCACCAUCCGGUUGAUGCUGAGGAAAGGCAAAGGCGAGCAGCGUGUCUGCAAGAUCUUUGACGCCCCUAACCUUCCCGAGGGAGAAGCUGUUUUCCAGAUCACAACAGGCGGAUUGAUGGAUGUGAAAGACUGA
rnacentral:rRNA from 1 species